AAGCUCGCACGCCGGAAGACCAAGGGUUCCAGUCCAACGUUAAUCGGGGCUGGGUGAGUCGACCCCUAAGGCGAGGCCGAAAGGCGUAGUCGAUGGGAAAUCGGUUAAUAUUCCGAUACUUGUUUAUGAUGCGAUGGAGGGACGGAGAAGGUUAUGCCAGCUUGGCGAUGGUUGUCCAAGUGGAAGGAUGUAGUUAGGUUUAGUAGGCAAAUCCGCUAGACUAUUAAUGAGAUCUGAUAGCAAGCUGUACUUGUACAGCGAAGUGGCAAAUACCCUGCUUCCAGGAAAAGCUUCUAAGCGAUAGUCAUAAAGAAAUCGUACCC
rnacentral:rRNA from 1 species